rnacentral:tRNA from 1 species
GCCGGGAUGGCGGAAUUGGUAUACGCGCUAGUCUUAGGAACUAGUGUCGCAAGACUUGAGGGUUCGAGUCCCUCUCCCGGCACCA